AGCUUUGGGUGAGUCGGUGCAACUCACUCCAUCCCAAAUGCCUUGCAAGGGGAAUAUCGUGAGCUAUCUUCAGUAGCUCAUGUUUAUAUUUCCUGGGUACUACCAGCAGCUAGGAGCUGUACCUGAACCUACCCGCUCCACUAUGCAGUAUAACAAUCCCUUCUCUCAGAUAAACUUCUCUCCUUCCAGCCCUGCCUGACUAGUG